rnacentral:rRNA from 1 species
AUGGCGAGGCUCUCCCCGGGGGCGGCGGCGCCGCAGGUGGACACGGGCAAGUACGUCCGCUACACGCCGGAGCAGGUGGAGGCGCUGGAGCGCGUCUACAACGAGUGCCCCAAGCCCAGCUCCCUCCGCCGCCAGCAGAUCAUCCGGGACUGCCCCAUCCUCUGCAACAUCGAGCCCAAGCAGAUCAAGGUCUGGUUCCAGAACCGAAGGUGCCGGGAGAAGCAGCGCAAGGAGUCCUCCCGCAUGCAGACGGUGAACCGGAAGCUCACCGCGAUGAACAAGCUGCUGAUGGAGGAGAAUGACCGGCUGCAGAAGCAGGUGUCGCGUCUCGUCUACGAGAACGCGUCGGUCAAGAGUCUCAAGACUAAGAUCCACAAGGCUUCUGCGGCCACCACGGACACGAGCUGCGAGUCUGUGGUGACGAGUGGUCAGCAGCAAGCCCUAGCAGCCCCGCGUCCGCAGAGGGAUGCGAACAACCCAGCUGGUCUUCUCGCAAUCGGUGAAGAGACCUUGACAGCGUUCCUGUCCAAGGCGACCGGAACUGCUGUCGAAUGGGUGCAAAUGAUGGGAAUGAAGCCUGGUCCGGAUUCCAUUGGAAUCAUCGCUGUUUCGCACAAUUGUAUUGGCGUAGCAGCCCGAGCUUGCGGUCUUGUGAGCCUUGAGCCCACAAAGGUUGCCGAGAUCCUCAAGGAUCGUCCAUCUUGGUAUCGCGACUGUCGUUGCGUUGAUAUCCUCCAUGUUUUCCCUACGGGUAAUGGUGGAACUAUCGAGCUAAUCUACAUGCAGACUUAUGCACCGACGACUUUGGCGGCACCACGCGACUUCUGGACACUCCGCUACACCUGCGGACUUGAUGAUGGCAGCCUUGUGAUCUGUGAAAGGUCAUUGACUCAGUCCACGGGUGGUCCAUCUGGGCCUAACACUCCUGGUUUUAUCAGAGCCGAGGUGCUCCCUAGUGGUUAUCUGAUUCGACCAUGCGAGGGAGGUGGCUCCAUGAUCCACAUUGUGGAUCAUGUUGAUUUGGAUGCUUGGAGUGUGCCUGAAGUCCUUAGACCGCUCUAUGAAUCUCCAAAGAUCGUUGCACAGAAGAUGACUAUUGCGGCAUUGCGACACAUCAGGCAAAUCGCGCAUGAAUCAAGUGGUGAAAUCCCCUAUGGUGCUGGGCGCCAGCCUGCAGUUCUCAGAACCUUCAGUCAAAGGCUCAGCAGAGGCUUCAACGAUGCUGUGAGUGGAUUUCCAGAUGAUGGUUGGUCUUUGUUGACGAGUGAUGGUGCUGAGGAUAUUACCAUCACAGUAAAUUCAUCGCCAAACAAGCUUGUCGGAUCCCACAUCAGCCCUUCACCGCUCUUUUCUGCCAUCGGAGGUGGCAUUUUGUGUGCGAAGGCAUCAAUGCUAGUGCAGGAUGUCCCUCCUGCUUUACUUGUGCGAUUUCUGAGGGAGCAUCGCUCGGAAUGGGCUGAUCCUGGUGUUGAUGCUUAUUCUGCUGCCUCUUUGAGGGCCAGCCCAUACGCAGUUCCAGGCUUAAGAGCUGGUGGAUUCAUGGAAAAUCAGGUUAUACUGCCACUCGCGCACACGUUGGAGCAUGAAGAGUUCCUUGAGGUCCUUAGGCUGGAAGGACAUGGUUUUAGCCAUGAUGAGGUGCUUCUUGCGCGAGAUAUGUACCUUCUGCAGCUUUGCAGCGGUGUUGAUGAGAACGCUUCAGGCGCUUGCGCGCAGCUUGUCUUUGCACCUAUUGAUGAAUCUUUUGCUGAUGAUGCACCGCUGCUACCCUCGGGCUUCCGUGUCAUACCACUGGACACAAAGACGGAUGUCCCAUCUGCCACACGCACACUCGACCUGGCGUCUGCCCUUGAGGUUGGAUCUGGUGGAGCAUUGCGUGGUUCUGGUGACUCUCCUGGUGGAUGCAGCACGAGGUCGGUGCUGACCAUCGCCUUCCAGUUCUCAUUCGAGAACCACCUCCGUGAAAGCGUGGCAGCAAUGGCAAGGCAGUACGUGAGGGCUGUGAUGGCAUCCGUGCAGAGGGUGGCCAUGGCAAUAGCUCCUUCUCGCCUAGGCUCGCAGAUCCAACUGAAGCACCCUCCAGGCUCCCCUGAGGCGCUUACACUUGCUAGCUGGAUUGGCAGGAGCUACAGGGCUCACACUGGAGAAGAGAUCCGUUGGUCGGACACUGAAGAAGCAGAUUCUCCCCUGAAGCUUCUGUGGAACCACAGUGACGCGAUACUCUGCUGCUCUCUGAAGCCUGCUCCUAUGUUCACCUUCGGCAACAACGCGGCCCUGGACAUGCUGGAGACGACUCUGGUGAACCUGCAGGACAUCUCGCUGGAGGUGAUCCUGGACGACGAGGGGCGCAAGGCCCUGUGUGCCGAGUUCUCCAAGGUCAUGCAGCAGGGUUUCGCGUACCUCCCUGGUGGGGUGUGCAAGUCGAGCAUGGGGCGGCAGGCGUCGUACGAGCAGGCGGUGGCGUGGAAGGUGGUGGGCGACGACGUGGCGGGCGCCCCGCACUGCCUCGCCUUCAUGUUCGUCAACUGGACCUUCCUGUGA